GUCAAAUUUGUAGGGAGAGGAUGUUGGAGAUUCCACUGAUGAAUUUUACUUAUUUUACAUUAGUUCUCAGGCUGAUUUAAUUAGAAUAUCUUGCUUUUAAGAGGCUGAGUACUAUUAACACCUGACAUCAAAGUCACAGGCCGAAAGCACCACCUUCCUCAAAGGAAUUCUGAAGAAAGUAAUCUUUCAAAAGUGAAACAGGAUGCUUGCAGUUAGAAGUUUCCCCUGACGACCAAAUUUGCUGAAACUGGAGGAAUCCAAGAUGGCAGCUCAGUUGACCUCUGAAGAACCUCUAACUUCCUUAUAAUCUAAUUUCCAUGCUAAAUGACCUUCCCUCCAGGCCAUGACUGUUGGCAAUCACCAUGGCAAUGACCAGAAGAAACCACAAAAGGACAAAAAGGAAGGCAGCACUCUGGUCCUGAGAAAUUGUCUGUCCAUUCCAAGAAAAGACAGAUAUUCCUAUCCUUGCUUUUAAUACCCGACACCUACAUUGAAAAUGUCCUGUGUCUGUGGCUUCCUAGCUCCCAUGAACUGAGAAUUUGAUCUGUGAGCCAUGCUUUCUGCUCCUCAUUUCCAUGGCCAGCAAAUAAAGCCUGCAUUGCUUAACACUCACUUUUGGUUUCACAUAUUGGCUUCAAGACACCAAAAAAGGAAA